UAGCCAUGAUAUAUUAUCCUUCUAUAUGUUGCUGUAUUUGACUUGUAUAUAUGUGUAUUUUUUCAAACCAAAAACAGAAUGGUACUGUAUAUACUGAUUUGUAAUCUCUUUUUGAAAAAACAUAUUUUUUAAUCUAAAAGAAAUUCAUAGUUGUAAGAAAAGUUCUUUCUGAUUAUGCCAGUAGAUUUAUUUCUUCCCUGUGCUUUCUUAUAAUAGGGGAUUAGAUAGUUGCUAUGCAUAUUUUGGUUCAAGUUCAUUAAAUUCAAAAACUGGGAUGAGAAAUUUUCAACCCCCACACACCAACUCUUCUAAUUAGCUGAUAAACUCUGAAAUAAAUUAUUUGUAUCUUUGACAAAAUGUGAAGAGGAAACUGCUCUGAGUUUUGAAGGUCAUUAUAAAUGCUAAGAGGAAAGGGGUGAGCACCAAUCUUCGAAAUCCAGGCACUCACUCAUCAGAUGUCUGGUGAGUCCAAAAUCUCUGUCUUAUGAUGAUAACCUUAAGUAACAACCUUAAAUAUACAUCAGAUAGCUCUGAUAUUUGUAAAGAAAGUUUUCUUUCUUCCAUUAAAAAAUACUGUAUAGGUAGAUAUAGAUGUGUGUGUAUACACAAACACUCACACACACACACACAUACGGAGAGACAGCAUUAACAGUCUUUUGAAAACUUUUAUUUUGAAACAUUUUUUGUUGUGAGGUGUUUCUUCCCUGGACAAGUACAUCUUUUCUUUUCUUUUCUUUUUAUAUAGAUAUAUGAGUUUUCCCUACUCCAGAAACACGCAUUCAAGAUUGAUUCUCUCUAGGUACCCACUUAAGGCUUAUUUUUAGAAUUCCAGCAAUCUAAUUUUUUUUUUACCUCCAACUUUUAUUUUGGAAAAGGCAAUCUACUUAUUCUUCACAUCCUCAUAAGGAAAUGGACAUUGCUUUAUUUUAUAUGUGAGCCAGAGCUCGAGAUAAUGAUAAAUCUUGCCAGAGGCCUCAAGGAUACUAAGCAUGAACUCUGGGAAAAAAAUUUGUGUUUGUUUUGUUUUUGGAGGGUGUCCCUCAUUCCCAGCCUUGGGUUAAGAUGAUUCUGCUUUUCUCAAAAUGUUUGAAUGACAGGAUGAACUUCAAUGUUUGCAUCAUUUCCCCUGUUUUAUACUCUCCUCGCAUAGACCACAGCUGAGAGUUUUAGAGAAAAGGCGCUUUCGGCAAGUGCAAAGUGGUAUUGUCAUGUUGCUACUGGAGCUGUCUGUGACAGCCAAGAAAAUAGGACAGAAUCAAAAGGAAGUAAAAUAAGUCAUAGUGAAACCUUCUCCCUUAGAGGAAGGAAAGCAAACAUUGAAAUAUUGCUUUUUUUCUUGGCUACUUAUUAAAGGGGAGAUUUGCCUGCUGUGCUGGAAGAGUCUUUUAUUCAUCGUUUUGUUGAUGGGAGGUAUCCAACUUGAGUGUGUUUGAAGAAGCAAAUUAGUGGCUUCUGGGAAGGUAUUAAUAAGUCACAGAGCAAAGAGGAAUAUUUCAAGGGAGGUAAAUAUAUAUACAAUUUUCUGACGGUACAACAAGUUCACUUUGUGGUUUUCCUCAUUGAUUUAGAACUAUGUAUUUUUUGCAUCAGUGGCCUUCCUUCUCAUUUAUAACUUGUGACUUCAUUUGUGUGACUCAUUUCAUUAAGUUUGUCUCCAUGAACACUAACCACCCAAUAUGCCAUACUGUGAGCAUUUUUCUCUAAGAUAUAAAUCAGCAAUUCUUAACCUGUGCUUUUAACAUCCAGUGGUAUAUUAAUAUAAAUCAAGGGGUAUCUUUAGUUUUUUAAAAACAAGCUCAAAAUAGCUUUAAACUUCAAGAUACUAUUGAAAAUUAGAACGAAUUAUUAUGCAAAAACUUGAUUUUUUUUGCCUUUUUAAAUUUUUUUUAUUUCAUGCAGGAUUUUGUUUUUUGUUUCUUAAGAUGAACAAAAACUUGAUUUUUAAGAUUGGAAAUACCAUAUACUUGAAACAUUCUUAGUUACAGGUGCAACUACCCGAUUGAGGAAAUCCAUUGCUAAGCAAACAACGGAAUUGCCUUAAUGAUAUAAUUUAAGUUAUAUCUGCUUCCAUCUUUGGAUUCCCAUUUCCUUCUCCCAAAUGCAUGAUAUUUGGAAGCACUUUGUUGAUAUUACAAAUUUAUAAAUAAAGUAGACUUUGCUUCUUACAUGUCACCAUUGAGAUGUUUAGGCUCUAUAGAUUGUUAUUUAAAAAUUUGGCUUACUUCAGCCAAAUAAAAUCAUAGGUGUAUGAAAUGCUUAAUUUUACAUGUGAGGAAAAAAAGCCCACCAAAUUCAAAUAAAUUAUUUGAGUUUUCCCAACUUGUUAGCAACAGAGUUUUACCUAGAACCCUAGGCUUCUUUACGCCAGUGUUGUAUUUUUUUCAGCUACACUAGACUAUCAAAUUGACAAAGCUUCAUAUACAUUAGAAUGAAGUGGUUGAGGCAAAGGAAUGGUAAAUUGAGAAUUCACAAUUUGGGGUAAGGUCAAAGUAUGAUCUGAGGAUCGCCUUUGUUAAUCACAUGGAUGCUUUCUGAAAAUGUAGAUUCCUAGACUCUUCCUAGGUUCCCAGACAGAUUGAAUCUCAAUCUCCAUGGGUGGGACCCAGGAAUAUGCCAUUUAAACAAGUUCUCUAGAUAACUUUUAUGUACACUAAGGUUUACAUUCCAUAGGCCAAUGAUAUCCUAUAUAUUCCUCUAGAAUGUUAUUUAAUAUGUUUUAAACUGAGGUGUUAACAUUUUCCCAUUUGGGGAAUUUGUACUGUUUUGCACUAGAUUCUAAGGACUGGUACAGAGGAGACCUAUGGUGAAAGUGAAGGGCAUUGAAUCUGGGUUCCAUUCCAGGCUAACCUUGCUAUGUGGGCCUGGGCAACUUACUUACUGAACACUCUAAGUCUUCAAUUUUUCUUCUUCGAAAUAACUAUAAUGCCACCCUUGCAGAACUGCUGAGAGAUCAUAGAAAUAAAAUACUGUGCAGGCACUGGGCCUGGCCUAUUAAAAGCAUGCAACUACUAAUUACUGUCAUUACCUAAGCUAACAUAACUAUUAUUUUCCUCUUCCCUUACCUUGUAAAGUGGAAAUACACUGAAUUCCUCAUUGUUUCAGACCUAGCAACUAUUUGUGGAUUAUUCCUAUCUUUCGCUCCUCCUCCUCACCUCUGUGGCUUCCUGCCUACCUCUUGGCCAUUUCAUUGUUCAUUAGUCACCUCCACCAGAAGGAGGAAAGAGAAAAUAAGAAAUGCAACUCAAAACAUCCAUUUUCUUCAUAUGUUAUUACUCUUAGUAAAAGAUUUGAUUUGAAGUGAUGUGGCUGAAUCACUGGCCAAAAUAACAUUUUUGUGUUUUCUAAGAGUUUAAUUUACCUAUUUUUUAGACAGUUUCCAUUCCGGCUCUUAUAAUGAAAUAUCCUUGCUUAAAAACAGUGAUUUUAAUCAACACUGCAUAAGAAAAGGAUAUACUAAAUGAAUCAUUUUGAAUCUUGUUUCCUUCCUCAAUUUUUAGGGGAACUGAGAAGAUUUGGUUGAAUAAAGCUCAUUAAGAUCCUACAGAGAUGGAAUCUGAGUAUGAAGUAGGUCAAAUUCAGUCUCCCUGAUAGUGCCCUUCAGGCAUUGCCAACGUGGGCUUCUCGCUCAGCAGAGGUGGGUUGUGUGUGGAUGGAUUCCUAGACUGCAGCAUGGGCUCUAACCUAAUGAGAAGGUGCCUACACAGGGCCUGCAGCCAGAAGUCCUGAUUUUCACGUAAAAUGCCCUCAGUUCCUUCAAAUCUUCAGAUUUUUCCUCAGGUAAAGCUUUGUAUCCUAGGUGCUUGGUAUUAGGCAUCUGCUUGUUGGAAAGUAAGAGAGCCACAUCCGCAACUGCAAGAGUUGGGAGACUCCAGCGGCAGUAACAACCCAGGGGAUCACACAAAGGAGGUUGGAACUCUACCCUGGUUUGACUGAUCCCUCAAAUACAUUCAGAUGUCAUCAUAAAGAAGCUUUAGCUUCAUAAAGAAGGAAGACAAAGGAAAAAUUGUGCCACUUCUGUUAAUUUAAUCAGAAAGUUUUAAUGAUGUCUUAUUACUUGGGUUUUUAUCAUAAUGAUUUGUUUUAAUGCUGAGUUCAGUUUCAGUUUUAUAUUUGUUCUAUCUUGUGCAACGUCCAAGGAUAAUUUAACUAUUCAAAUGAAGUAGUCCCUUAAAAAAUUAUCCCAUGGCAUGGAUUUGAAGAGGCAGGCAAAAAUGGAAUAAAGUACUUUUCAGUAGAUUAGACAAUUGCAAUCCAGUUCUAUUGAAGCCCCACGACAGGAUUGCUGCUAAAUUUGAUGUAUAUUUUCUGUUUUUUUGUUUGUUUGGUUGGCUGGUUGGUUUUUGUUUUUGAGACAGAGUCUU